rnacentral:rRNA from 1 species
UACGGAAGGCAGCAGUGGGGAAUAUUGCACAAUGGGCGAAAGCCUGAUGCAGCUAUGCCGCGUGUAUGAAGAAGGCCUUAGGGUUGUAAAGUACUUUCAUCGGGGAGGAAAAACAAAACUAAUAAUUUUAUUUCUUGACGUUACCCGAAAAAGAAGCACCGGCUAACUCCGUGCCAGCAGCCGCGGUAAUACGGAGGGUGCUAGCGUUAAUCAGAAUUACUGGGCGUAAAGAGCACGUAGGUGGUUUUUUUAAGUCAGAUGUGAAAUCCCUGGGCUUAACCUAGGAACUGCAUUUUGAAACUGAAAUACUAGAGUAUCGUAGAGGGAGGUAGAAUUCUAGGUGUAGCGGUGAAAUGCGUAGAUAUCUGGAGGAAUACCUGUGGCGAAAGCGGCCUCCUAAACGAAUACUGACACUGAGGGUGCGAAAAGCGUGGGGAGCAAAACAGGGAUUAGAUA